AGCUGCGUCGAGAUCUUUCGCAUGGGCGAAGCCUGACGAAGCGACGCCGUGUGAGCGAUGAAGGCCUUAGGGUUGUAAAGCUCUUUCGCCUGUGAACAAGAGAGGUUAACUAAUAUUUAGSCAAUKWGAGCGUAGCAGGUAAAGAAGCACCGGCUAACUCC
rnacentral:rRNA from 1 species